UUGUUUAGCGAGUUAUUUUCAAGUUUGUUUAGCGAGUUUUAGUAAGUUUUCUUCUUAGUGAAACUUUUUAGUUUGUUGAGUGCAACGGUGGUUGUUUAGUGUUUAAAGACAAAUUAUAAACAGGGUGGCGGUAGGUGACAUAAAAUAUUAAAAAUUUUAUCAGGUAUUAGACUUUUAAUAGACUACGUGGUAUGCACAAGUUAUAUGUAGAAACAUGUUUAAGGGAUUAUUUAUUUGACAUAUAAAUCUCAAAAAUGCCAAUAACUCGACGAACCAACUUAAGUCGUAGAACGCGAAAUGCUGCAAGCCAACAACAUAUACGUGCAAGUCAAACCAACGAGCAACGCGAGAUGCGAAAUGAAGUUGAAAGGAAUAGAUGGAACAGGAAUAACCAAGAACGUAGAAACGUUCCGUUCAGAUUUAAUCCAAGUCGAGCUGCAUUUACUUACGAUGCAGCAAUCGAUUAUAGUUCGCAGCAAAUCGUUGCUAUUAGACAAAUGAACGUUGUGUGUCCACAUUGCAAGUCAAUGAACUUUAAAAAUGAAGCAUUUGGAUUGUGUUGUGCAAGUGGUCAAGUCAAACUGACACCAUUGGUACCGCCUCCAGACCCACUAUAUUCAUUGGUUUCCGGAAAUCAUCCAGAUUCAAAACAUUUUUUAAAUAAUAUCCAGCAAUAUAAUAAUUGCUUUCAAAUUACGUCAUUUGGAGCAACAAAAAUUUGUAGAGAUAAUUUUAUGCCUACUUUUAAGAUUCAAGGCCAAAUAUAUCAUAGAACAGGAUCUUUAUUGCCAACGCCAGAUAGUGACUACCAAUUUUUGCAAAUUUAUUUUAUGGGUGAUUCAACACAACAAGUUAAUCCGAGUUAUUCAUACAACAAUUCGGUGAAAAAACCAUUAGUGGAAAAACUACAAAGAUUUUUUCAUCAACACAACGAAUUGGUUGCAUUAUUCAAGACCGCUUUAGACCGCAUGCCAUCUGAUGACCACGAAAUUGUUAUCAGAGCCGAUAAGAAGCCUGCAGGAGAACAUGCAAGACGUUUUAAUGCGCCAACAAUUAGACGUAGUUAUGCAUAACGCGAUGCCAAGUGCCAGAAUGACAAUUGUGGGAAAACACAAUUAAGUUUCGAAUACCCUUAAAAAUCGAUAAAAUCUAAUACGGAUCUAAUUUUUGCAAGCUAUAUCCAAGACACUAUUUCAAAUUAUACUAUGUAAGCUUUUAGCAACAAAUAAUAAAUUUUAGAAGUUAUGAUAAAAAAUGUCA